UCCGUGGUGUCUCAGCUGGUAAAGAAUCCACCUGCAAUGUGGAAGACCUGGGUUCGAUCCCUGGAUUGGGAG
rnacentral:tRNA from 1 species